rnacentral:rRNA from 1 species
CCUACGGGAGGCAGCAGUGGGGAAUCUUGGACAAUGGGGGCAACCCUGAUCCAGCCAUGCCGCGUGAGUGAUGAAGGCCUUAGGGUCGUAAAGCUCUUUCGCCUGUGAAGAUAAUGACGGUAGCAGGUAAAGAAACCCCGGCUAACUCCGUGCCAGCAGCCGCGGUAAUACGGAGGGGGUUAGCGUUGUUCGGAAUUACUGGGCGUAAAGCGCACGUAGGCGGAUCGGAAAGUUGGGGGUGAAAUCCCGGGGCUCAACCCCGGAACUGCCUCCAAAACUAUCGGUCUAGAGUUCGAGAGAGGUGAGUGGAAUUCCGAGUGUAGAGGUGAGAUUCGUAGAUAUUCGGAGGAACACCAGUGGCGAAGGCGGCUCACUGGCUCGAUACUGACGCUGAGGUGCGAAAGUGUGGGGAGCAAACAGGAUUAGAUACCCUGGUAGUCCACACCGUAAACGAUGAAUGCCAGUCGUCGGGUAGCAUGCUAUUCGGUGACACACCUAACGGAUUAAGCAUUCCGCCUGGGGAGUACGGUCGCAAGAUUAAAACUCAAAGGAAUUGACGGGG